rnacentral:rRNA from 1 species
AGAGUUUGAUUCUGGCUCAGAACGAACGCUGGCGGCAGGCCUUAUACAUGCAAGUCGAGCGCAUCCUUCGGGAUGAGCGGCGGACGGGUGAGUAACGCGUGGGAAUGUGCCCUUCUCUACGGAAUAGCCACUGGAAACGGUGAGUAAUACCGUAUACGCCCUAAGGGGGAAAGAUUUAUCGGAGAAGGAUCAGCCCGCGUUAGAUUAGGUAGUUGGUGGGGUAACGGCCUACCAAGCCUACGAUCUAUAGCUGGUUUUAGAGGAUGAUCAGCCACACUGGGACUGAGACACGGCCCAGACUCCUACGGGAGGCAGCAGUAGGGAAUCUUGGACAAUGGGGGAAACCCUGAUCCAGCCAUGCCGCGUGAGUGAAGAAGGCCUUAGGGUCGUAAAGCUCUUUCGCCUGUGAUGAUAAUGACAGUAGCAGGUAAAGAAACCCCGGCUAACUCCGUGCCAGCAGCCGCGGUAAUAC